rnacentral:rRNA from 1 species
AGUCGAGCGGUAACAGGGGGUAGCUUGCACCCCGCUGACGAGCGGCGGACGGGUGAGUAAUGCAUAGGAAUCUGCCCAGUAGUGGGGGAUAGCCCGGGGAAACCCGGAUUAAUACCGCAUACGCCCUUUGGGGGAAAGCAGGGGAUCUUCGGACCUUGCGCUAUUGGAUGAGCCUAUGUCGGAUUAGCUAGUUGGUGGGGUAAAGGCCUACCAAGGCGACGAUCCGUAGCUGGUCUGAGAGGAUGAUCAGCCACAUCGGGACUGAGACACGGCCCGAACUCCUACGGGAGGCAGCAGUGGGGAAUAUUGGACAAUGGGGGCAACCCUGAUCCAGCCAUGCCGCGUGUGUGAAGAAGGCUUUCGGGUUGUAAAGCACUUUCAGUGAGGAGGAAAACCUUCUGGUUAAUACCCAUGAGGCUUGACGUUACUCACAGAAGAAGCACCGGCUAACUCCGUGCCAGCAGCCGCGGUAAUACGGAGGGUGCAAGCGUUAAUCGGAAUUACUGGGCGUAAAGCGCGCGUAGGUGGUUUGAUAAGCGAGAUGUGAAAGCCCCGGGCUUAACCUGGGAACGGCAUUUCGAACUGUCAGGCUAGAGUGUGGUAGAGGGUAGUGGAAAUUUCCUGUGUAGCGG